UUCCCGCCGGCCGCCGCAGUGGUGUCGGGCGCGAGUGCGCCGCACCCGCCGCUCCCGCCCCGCUCUCCCGGGACCGCCGCGACCCCCGGCAUCCCCCGAUCCUCCUCGCAAGCCCCCCCGCCGCCAGUCCUCCCCCUCUCACCGCCAUGGCCGACGAGCUCGACUUCACCACGGGCGAUGCCGGCGCCUCCUCCACCUACCCCAUGCAGUGCUCGGCGCUGCGCAAGAACGGCUUCGUGGUGCUCAAGGGGCGUCCCUGCAAGAUCGUGGAAAUGUCCACCUCCAAGACUGGCAAGCACGGCCACGCCAAGGUCCAUUUGGUUGGUAUUGAUAUCUUCACUGGUAAAAAAUAUGAAGAUAUUUGCCCAUCAACUCAUAACAUGGAUGUUCCAAAUAUCAAGAGGAAUGAUUACCAGCUGAUAGGCAUUCAGGAUGGGUAUCUCUCCCUGCUGACAGAAAGUGGUGAAGUUCGUGAGGAUCUAAAGCUGCCAGAAGGGGAUCUUGGCAAAGAAAUAGAAGGAAAAUUCAAUGCCAAUGAAGAUGUGCAGAUAUCUGUCAUAAGUGCAAUGAAUGAAGAAUGUGCUGUAGCCAUAAAGCCUUGCAAGUAAAGAAGAUUGCCAGGCUCGGGCAACUGCUCAGGUCUGGACAAACCACAGAUCUAUAAAUUUGGUCCUUAUUGUCACCAAAGCUCUGGCCUUCACAAGCAACCUCAUUUCCUUUUUGAAUUGUUAAAAAGCAGUGCUGGAUUCUGGAUUAGUGUUGCAGGCUAACUGGCAGUUUUCAAAAUCACUGAGAUUUUAAUUCCUUAAUUGUAACUAUUUUAACAUUCCUGUGGGUUUCAGCUAUGGAUCUAAGAAACCAAUCAGGUGUUACUAGUGGAUAUAUUUUUAUUUGCUUGAGCAAAACAGUGUUUGUCUGUAUGAACAGACAAAAUACAGUAUUCAGGGGCUUUUAGAUAAGCUGGUAGAUAUCUAGGAUUAUAAAGUGACCUAGAGCACAAAUAGUAUUUUUCUUGACAUCUUUAGGUAGAACUGACAAUAAAAGUAGCUUUUUUUUUUUCUUUCCUUUUUUUAAAGCUUAAGUACUUUGUGGAUUGGGACUCUUGCAGAACUGUAGGUGCCAAUCACAAGUUUUAGACCAAGAAACUCAAGUGAUCAGAAAUGCCAGCUGGCUUGACCAAGCCCCAGUGGCCAUGUGCAACUAAACUGUAUUACCUCUGUUUUCUUCUUUGCCAACUUGUUGGCUUAUUGUAACGAUAAAAUGGUUUAAAAAAAAAGCCUACCUGUGGUUUAGGCAGGCCGUUGGAAUAUUGAGUAGAUAAGACAUAGAUAGGUCAAGGGGACACAAAGGUGAGAAUGGAUGUUAAAGCUAUAGACUUUCACUCGAGGCCUUUGUCAGACUUGAAAAAUAAAAUAGAAAAAUGCAGUUCAAUUGCUUUCCUUUAUUAUAUUUAUCUUAACUAUAAAAGGGUGACAAACUCAUGGGAAUCUGUUGCAGUGCUUCCAGCUUUAGGUUUUAACCUUCAGGUUCAGACCAUAUUUUUGUAGCACAGGGACCACACGUUUUUCAGAAAGUGGGACAAACUGUAGCAUUGAGCCUAAACUAAAUGCAUGUGAUUCUUUUUUAAAAAAAAAUAAAACUGUUGUAUUUUCAAGACAUAAACUUGACAGACGAUGCCGAACAACCAUGGCUUCACUAUAAAAGUAAAUAACUUGCUACCUAGUUAGGGAAGCUGGCUCCUGUCCUGGGGAGUUCUGAGUCAUAGUAACACACAUGCAUGCCUCUUAACUAUUUAGUAGCUUAACAAGGCUUCACAGCAAUAGUUAUGGAAGGAUAAUUAGCCUGCUCCUGUGUAAGGCAUUCAGCUUGAAUUCAAAGACUUGGUGACUCUUCAUGAGUGGGGAAACUUCCUUAGUCCACGGCUCAGACCUUUCUUCACAGCUGAUAAAUUGUUUCAUGAACUUGCCUUAAUGCUCAGUGGCUGAUGGAGGAUGACACAGAAGCUGCCCCGGACAGCACGCACAAUUCACACUACUUGGCAGCCAGAGUUGGACUUCAUGCUGCUCUUAACUGCUUAAAAUGUUUUCAGCUUCAUAGUUUCUACUCUCUAGUCUCCAGAAGGCUCGUGGCAACUGUCAUGAGCUGCCCUUGGUCACACUGGGGCAGGGCUUAGCAAACCUUGGAGGGGUUAUGCAGGUGGCAAAAGCAUGUGUUGUUCCCACACCAGGGAGAGCAGUACCAGUGAAGGUAAAGACAGCAAUAAAUACACUCUGGUAAUGAAGCACAGCUACCUGGGACACCUAGCAGAGGUAGGACCUGCCCACACGCUCUUGCCUAGCACAAAACGUGUUGCAGGUGAACUCUAAAAAUAGCACCUUGACUGAAAUGGCAAAAGUGCUUUGAAAAGAGGCUCUAGCUUGAAAUGCUUCCAGAAUAGCUCUGAAGUGGAUGUGGAAUAGUUCGGGCUAGUCCGCACUGUGCUCCCUUCUGCCUCUCCAUCAAGCUGGUACCUGGAAGUCAGGCUUUGUUGGCUUUGGAGGUGUCUGUAACCAUUGCUGAUGAUGCUGACAGCAAGCUGAGCUGUGUGGUGUCACAUGGGAAGUCACAGGUUGCUACACCAAACUAAUGCAAGUUCUAUCACCAUAGUACAAAUACUUCCAAUACGCUUGAGAACUACAAGACUUGAAUUUGUCCCUGCUCUGGUAGUGCUUUAGUCUAUUUUCAGGUUCCUGUCUGUCCUCUAAAACCUUUUUGGAAGACAGGUACUCGAUGUCACUGGCCCACAAUCUGAGCAGUUACUUGGACUAAGCUCUCUGGGACCAGGGCUGGAUUAAGCCCUGAUCCUACAAGUGGAGUCCUGGCCUGACUGGAGUUUUCAGGUACUACAGCAAUCUAAAGAUAGAGGUUUCAUGACCUCCAGCUUGCUGGAAGAGUCCUUCUCGGGACUUUCAGAUGUCCUUCUAUUGCAACCUUCAGUUCUGCAAGAUUUAAAUGAUUAAGUACUUCAUUAUAGGUUUGUUCUUAUAUACUUAGUUGUCUUUGUGAAGCACUUCAGGCACCAUGGAAGUGCAGAGCAUCAUGCAUGAAGUUUCCCAUAGGUACAUAAGCAUGUCUUAAAGCAUAAUCUCCAAGUUUCAGUAAGGUUAAAAGUUGCUUCUAAAUUAAAACAUGUAUUUGAGGCUUUUUUUUUUUUCUCCAAAGUAAGACGCUUCAGUUUUCUGUCAGAAUCGUUGCAACAAACUUUGUGAUCAGUAGUCCAUAGAGAUGUGUAUUUUUAAUAUCCAUAACCAAGUGCUUAGGGAAGUUCUCCUUUCAUAGCUUUACUUUAAAACAAAUCUUACCGGUGUAUUUGUUCUGUAUUACUGUCUUAACACUUAAAUUGUGUCAAAACCAUAAACUACUUAUAGCUGAUGGCAAUUGCUUAGAGUAAAGCCUGUGAACACAGGGGAGGUGGUGAGAGGUAUUUCCACUCCAGAUAACAUGGUUUUUUAUGACUCCUGUUCAUUGAGUUUCUCUUACUACUUCACACAAUUGGAAAGACUGCAGUGUUUCCUGCCUCAAAUGUUGGCAAAUAAUACUUUAAGAAUUCAACAGAUCCUUCUAAUUUUUGCUUAUAAUGGUGGUUUUUCAACUGGGCUCUUGCUGGUUGAGCCAUGUUCUCAGGGCUGUUUUUUUUAAGCUGAAGUUCAUUGUUUCUCUUGCAGGUUUUUCUAAUCCGAAGUGUACCCAGAAACGGUGCACGGUCUGUAGUUUCACAAUACAGAUAAUUUUACAUAAUCUGUAAAGAAGUCAAGUUUGUUGACAGUUCUAACUCUUAUGGUUACUGCAGGUCAGUCUCACAAGAAUUCAAAAUUCAAUAAAUCCCACUAUUUUAUUUUUAUUUUUUUUUUCGGUUGAGUAAUUAGAACGUAGUUUGUUACAGUAGACUUCAGGCUAUAAAGAGACCUUGUUCAGGAUAUCUCGAGUACCUGCUGGGAAUGUUACAGAAGGCGCGGAUCCUGGAGCGAUCGGCAGCUCAGCACGAGGUGGUCGGAGGCUCUCCAGCACCUGCACUGUGGCCCUGCAGUGUUUGGCAUCCGGGAGUGACUUGCAAAAGGAUCGAAAAUCCAAAAAGUCAACCUGGAAGUUUUGCCUUGACUUGACCCAUCCUGUGGAAGAUGGAAUCUUUGAUUCCGGGAAUUUUGGUCCCUUCCCUAGUUCAUACCUAGGGUGCCAUUCCCUAGUGUUCUAUUUCUUUAAUGUUGAAACAGGAACAAUUCCUAAAGGAGAAGGUUAAGGUCAAUGGGAAAACUGGAAACUUGGGCAAUACCGUUCACAUUGAACGUCUGAAGAACAAGAUCACAGUGACAUCUGAGAAGCAGUUUUCUAAAAGGUACCUGAAAUACCUCACCAAGAAGUACCUCAAGAAGAACAACCUGCGGGACUGGCUCCGCGUCGUGGCGUCCGACAAGGAGACGUACGAGCUGCGCUACUUCCAGAUCAGCCAGGAUGAAGAGGGGUCAGAGUCUGAGGAAUAACUGAACCUUGGUUUUAUGCUCAGUGCAGAGUACAAAAGACUAGAACAUCUAUUUAUAAGAACACUUUAACUUAUUGGUGAAUAAAGAUUUUGUACCCUGUUGGACAGA